AGCCCUGUAGCUCAGUGGUUAGAGCACUCACUUUGAAAGUGAGAGACCUGGGUUUGAUUCCUGGCAGGGCAA